ACGAACGCUGGCGGCGUGCCUAAUACCUGCAAGUAGAACGCUGAAGGAGGAGCUUGCUUCUCUGGAUGAGUUGCGAACGGGUGAGUAACGCGUAGGUAACCUGCCUGGUAGCGGGGGAUAACUAUUGGAAACGAUAGCUAAUACCGCAUAAUAGCAGUUGUUGCAUGACAACUGUUUGAAAGGUGCAAUUGCACCACUACCAGAUGGACCUGCGUUGUAUUAGCUAGUUGGUGGGGUAACGGCUCACCAAGGCGACGAUACAUAGCCGACCUGAGAGGGUGAUCGGCCACACUGGGACUGAGACAAGGCCCAGACUCCUAAGGGAGGCAGCAGUAGGGAAACUUCGGGAAUGGACGGAAGGCUGACCGAGCAACGCCGCGGGAGGGAAGAAGGUUGUCGGAUCGGAAAGAUCUGUUGUAAGAGAAGAACGAGUGUGAGAGUGGAAAGUUCACACUGUGACGGUAUCUUAUCAGAAAGGGACGGCUAACUACGUG
rnacentral:rRNA from 1 species